UACGUAGGUGGCAAGCGUUGUCCGGAUUUAUUGGGUUUAAAGGGUGCGUAGGCGGCCUUUUAAGUCAGUGCUGAAAUAUCCCGGCUUAACCGGGAGGGUGGCAUUGAUACUGUAGGGCUUGAGUGUAGUCGAGGUAGGCGGAAUUGACGGUGUAGCGGUGAAAUGCUUAGAUAUCGUCAAGAACACCGAUAGUGUAGACAGCUUACUAGGCUACAACUGACGCUGAGGCACGAAAGUGUGGGGAUCAAACAGG
rnacentral:rRNA from 1 species